CCAGCCUUCCCUGAAGUCUGACAGACGCCACUGCCUGCACUCUGCACUUAACUCCGUGGUACUUUUCUUGUCUUUGAAGGCGGCCCUCCCCAGCCAGGCUGCAGGCGUCUCCAGAUCAGGCCUGCCAUCACCUUUGUUCCAAUUUAUUCCCAAUGCUGAGUCUCCCUAUGGCACUCCUGCCAGCUCUCCUCGUCACAGGAGCCAGCUCCAUGCCUGCCAUUUGGAAUGACGUUUUCAGUAAACCUUGUGCUUGCAAAACUUUGUGCUUUGCUUUUUUUUAAAGGAUGGACUUGUAUUUUAUUAUAUAAGCUGCACGUUUUGCAAGGCAAAUACACUGUGGAAAAAGACCAGGAGCCGCCAGCUCAGCCAAGCCUGAGAGCCAGCAGAGACCGUGAGUGAAUCUGAGAGGCUUGCCGCCUCCCUCGCCGUGAGUGGCCCAGGAGCCCGCACCGCUGGGCCCUCCGUAAGCCUUGGCUCCCCCACCUGCAAGCUGGGGUCACAUCCCGGCCUCCUCUGCUAUCAACAACUAAAAACCUCUUAUUUGGAAAAGCAAAACAGAAGGCACUGAAGCUUCCUCCAGCGUGGUGGCAGCCCAGCAAACUCCCAAGUUGUGUCUGUGCCAAAGCAGACGCACUACACAGCUGAAGAAUCUGGUCAGAAGCAGUAAGACACUGGAAACACCAACAACAAAGAAAAAGAAAAAAGAAAGAGAAAACAACCAGUUAUGCUGGAGAGAUACAAAAAUGGUAAUACAGAAAACUCUCAUGACCGAAGCACCAAAGACCCCAGGUUCGAUCCCCAGCACUACCAGAAGGCAGAACUGAGCAGUGCUCUAGGGAAAAGUUGGAAGGAAGGAGGGAGAAAGAGAAAGAAAUAAGUUAUUACUUAUCCUGAAUUCCCAAAAUAAACAUGUCACACUACUAUUUCAAAUCUAGCUGAAUAAUAAUAAUAAUAAUAAUAACCUCAAAGUUUUUUUCUGCCUUGUGACAGUGGAUCUUGGGUAGGGCUCCUAAAUCUUCUGUGCAUCAGUGUCCUCAGUCACAAAACAGGGUGAAAUAACUGUGCCUACCGCAUAGGUCUGGGACAGAAAUCAAAUAAAAUAUGCCACAGAAGUACUGACAUCCAUCACAAGGACAUAAACUCAGGAGCCUGGGUUUCAAAUCCUGUAUUUUAUUUUAUUUUUUUAUUUUUUAAAGAUUUUAUUUAUUUAUUUAUUUAUGAGAAAGGUAGGAGAGAGAGAGAGAAAGAACCAGAUGUUACUAUGGUACAUGUGCUGCCAGGGGUCGAACUCAGGACCUCAUGCUUGAAAAUCCAGUACUUUAUCCACUGUGCCACCUCCCGGACCACCAAAUCCUGUAAUUUCCAUUCCUAGCUAUGACCAGGGGCCAAUGAAGAGACUAGCUAGACCCUCAUUUCUCCCAGGUGGGAGAGGAACAGAAGUAGAGUCCACACCCCCAGGAGGCAGUAUAGAGGGUCCUAACAAGUGGCCCCCACUGCGUGAGGCUUACAGAUCCAGUCUUUCUGCCCAGGAACAAGGGGGCAAUUUCAUUGUGCCGACUGCCUCCUUCACAGCCUCAGAAGGGUCUCCGUGGGGGCUUCCUACUGCCUUCCUGUUUGCUCGGCUCCCUCUAGGAAGCUGUGAGAAGCUACCUUCCGUGUGACCAAACAAGGCGUGCGUGUUAUCAGCAUGAAGCAUCUCCCCGACCCACAGAGAGCCAGCCCGAGCUGAG